rnacentral:rRNA from 1 species
CCUACGGGGAGCAGCAGUGGGGAAUAUUGGACAAUGGGCGAAAGCCUGAUCCAGCCAUGCCGCGUGUGUGAAGAAGGCCUUCGGGUUGUAAAGCACUUUCAGUGGGGAAGAAAGCCUUGGGGCUAAUACCCUCGAGGAAGGACAUCGCCCACAGAAGAAGCACCGGCUAACUCCGUGCCAGCAGCCGCGGUAAUACGGAGGGUGCGAGCGUUAAUCGGAAUUACUGGGCGUAAAGCGCGCGUAGGCGGUCUGAUAAGCCGGUUGUGAAAGCCCCGGGCUCAACCUGGGAACGGCAUCCGGAACUGUCAGGCUAGAGUGCAGGAGAGGAAGGUAGAAUUCCCGGUGUAGCGGUGAAAUGCGUAGAGAUCGGGAGGAAUACCAGUGGCGAAGGCGGCCUUCUGGACUGACACUGACGCUGAGGUGCGAAAGCGUGGGUAGCAAACAGGAUUAGAUACCCGGGUAGUC